GCAGGCUGAAACUCGCCUGCAUGAAGCUGGAAUUGCUAGUAAUCAUAGGUCAGCAUACUAUGGUGAAUACGUUCCCGGGCCUUGUACACACCGCCCGUCACACCAUGAGAGUUGAGAAUACCCGAAGUCCAUGUCAAAGUGGCCGAAGGUAGGCUUGAUGAUUGGGUGAAGUCGUAACAAGGUAGC
rnacentral:rRNA from 1 species